AGUGCUGGAUGUCUAAGUCCUUUGAAACACAUAGAGGACAAAGAGCUCUUGUUGGAGGAUAUCAUCGUGUUUCAGGUGGUUCAUCGAGUCAGUGGAGCAUUUCAAAGAUUCAAGCAGAGGAUGAAGACCCUUGGUGGUCUUGAUGCAAUAAGAAUGCAACCAGAUGCUUUCAGUCUGCUGUUUUUGUCACCAGCCAUCCCCACUCAGCUAAUGUACUAGAACAGCUCUUUGAGUCAGCAGUGGGCAGCAACAAAAGAAGGGCAGAGGAAUGCGUGGUUGCAUUUUGGAGGGACUACCCGCUGGAUGUUGAGGCUAAAGAGGGACCCUUAAAACGUGGGGGUAUCCUGGCCUAGGCGAUGAGAGCAAAUGCAAUUCCACCACUGGGCUUCUACCAAUGACCUUCAAUGGAUUUUCUCCGUGAGCUGUCCCUCAGACAAGGCCGUCAUUUACCCACUGCAAAAACAGGCAUUAACUGACAGCGGUUGCUAGUCCUGAAGAAAUUCAAGGAUUUCAGGGAAGCUAUGGAUUUUGCAUUAAAAAACACAUAGGGAUUUGGUCAGGAAUGACUUCAGAGAACUUUUGAACAUACGUUUUUAAAUUCUGUUGCCUGUUGAAAUUUAUUAAACUGAUGAGACAUUGUUUUCAAUAAUAUCAUUUCCUAAUAGAUUAAUGUCUUGUUUAAACAAUUGACAAUGGAAUAAUCAUUUAAGGGCGUUUUCACACCUGUAGUUUGUUUGCUUUGGUCCAAAUCAGUUGGUGAGUUUUUAAACUUGGAGCAAUUUGCCCUCGGUCAGUAUGGUAUGGUUUGGUUUCACACUUAGAAAAAUCCAAACGUACCAAAACGCACCAUUAGAAAUCACGCAAAAACAUCCACUCCUUUUAUUGGUCGGAUGUUUCUGGGGGCGGGAGCAAGAAAAUAAACACAGAAUGCCUUGCAUCUCCAUGGUCAAACUAGCUAAUUUCUUUAAAAUUACCAAACAUUGUUUUGCGAGCGACGUUACUACAUCUGUUUAGGUCACCGAGACUUUGCUCUGCCUCCCAUUUUAGCGGCAGCUGGCCCGACAACGAGGCUAUGCGAGUG